rnacentral:rRNA from 1 species
CUCUUUCACUCCUACGGGAGGCAGCAGUGGGGAAUAUUGCACAAUGGGGGAAACCCUGAUGCAGCCAUGCCGCGUGUGUGAAGAAGGCCUUCGGGUUGUAAAGCACUUUCAGUAGGGAGGAAGGUAGUGUAGUUAACACCUGCAUUAUUUGACGUUACCUACAGAAGAAGCACCGGCUAACUCCGUGCCAGCAGCCGCGGUAAUACGGAGGGUGCGAGCGUUAAUCGGAAUUACUGGGCGUAAAGCGCAUGCAGGUGGUUUGUUAAGUCAGAUGUGAAAGCCCGGGGCUCAACCUCGGAAUAGCAUUUGAAACUGGCAGACUAGAGUACUGUAGAGGGGGUAGAAUUUCAGGUGUAGCGGUGAAAUGCGUAGAGAUCUGAAGGAAUACCGGUGGCGAAGGCGGCCCCCUGGACAGAUACUGACACUCAGAUGCGAAAGCGUGGGGAGCAAACAGGAUUAGAUACCCUGGUAG